rnacentral:rRNA from 1 species
AUGAACGCGGCCGAGGAUGCCCGCCGCCGUACCACGCGCACGCGCACGCGCCUCCAUCCACAUACCCACGCGAGUGAGGCGGGCGAAGCAGUGGCCCGCCGCCGCAGCACGUGCCUCCAUCCCCAUCCCCAGAUCCAGGCCAGUCACGACGGCGACGGAGUGGCCCGCCGCCGCAGCCCGCGCCUCCAUCCCCAGGCCCACGCGAUCGAGGAGGGCCAAGGAGUGGCUCUCCGGCGCAGCACGCGCCUCCGUCCCCAUGUCCACGCGGGUGAGGAGGCAUCCGGAGUUACCCGCCGCAGUCGCCGUCGUGGCCGCCGCGGAAGCUCGCCGGCGGGGCUGUCCUCGCCUCUUGAGGACGACGAUCUCCUGUGGGAGAUCCUCCUCCGCCUCCCGCCGGAGCCCUCCUCCCUGCUCCGUGCCUCCGCCGUCUGCAAGCGCUGGCGAUGCGCGGCCACCGACCCCAGGUUCCAACGCCGAUUCUGCCAACACCACCGGAAGCCGCCCCUCCUCGGCUUCUUCGAGCACAGCGUCGAUGGUAUCGUCUUCAAACCUGUCCUGGACCCUCCCGACUAUAUCCCUCCUCAGCGCUUCGACGUAAGACUCCACGGCAUUGACAGUGGCCGUGGCACGGGGGUCAAACUGCUGGGGUGCCGCCAUGGUCGCCUCCUCCUCAUGCAUUGGCAACAGGCAGAGCUUAUUGUAAUUGCUCCCAUCACCGGCAAGAAGUUCUGCCUGACCGUUCCGUCCAAGUUAAGUUAA